UUUUUCUAGGAGGCCGGUUACAGCAUAGAGAGACUGGGCCUGCAGCACAGUUUGACCAAGUUUCCUGGCGUUCACACGACUAUUGUCGGCAUUACAAGUACAGAAGUGCUGCACAAAAAUAUUUCCUGCUUGAGCACGGUCCCCAAGGAAGAAGAGAACAUCAGCCAGGAGGUUAAGACAAAGUUCUUUGGGAAGCCAACGAGCAGUCACUGGGAAGGCGUGGAGAUCGGCAAGAUUCGCCGGAAACUUGCCCAGCGCCGCUCCCAGCUUGCUCAGGGAAACGUCUGACGCCUUACCUCCGGCAAAGCCUAGCAGCUCGACAGAGUGAAUCCACAGCGGAGGUGACGAGAAGUUCACGCGCUAGAAGAACGAUGAGAUACAAAUCCUCAUCGCCGGUGAAUCACGUGGCAGCGGGCUGUUUGCUCGGUCUUGGUGUUCGAGGAAACUGUGUUCUUUUAGUCGCGAGCGAGCAUGUGCAUGCUUUGCGAGUGUUUUCUUUUCUCGACCUUCAUCACAUGAUCCAGCACGCCUGGACUCGCCCUAUAGUAACAUCUUUUCUGGGACAAGCUCUCCAUGCCAGCCAUGACUAGGCACUGGAGCGUGUUGAACGUGCUCUCAUCCAUCGGCCGAUUAUGAACACUUCCUCGUUGACAUAUCUAAUGUAAAUAUAAUAAUAAAAAGUUG